rnacentral:rRNA from 1 species
UACGAAGGGGGCUAGCGUUGUUCGGAAUUACUGGGCGUAAAGGGCGCGUAGGCGGCCUUCUAAGUCGAACGUGAAAUCCCUGGGCUCAACCCAGGAACUGCGUCCGAUACUGGUUGGCUUGAGUUUGGGAGAGGGAUGCGGAAUUCCAGGUGUAGCGGUGAAAUGCGUAGAUAUCUGGAGGAACACCGGUGGCGAAGGCGGCAUCCUGGACCAAUACUGACGCUGAGGAGCGAAAGCCAGGGGAGCAAACGGG